UGUGUACUUCACCUAUGCAUAUAGUUUUGGAAGAAGUGUCUUGAUCCCUUUCUAUGACGUAUGUGAUCCUUACAUUAACAUACAGAUACUUUAUUUUUAACAUCAGCUGAAGUCAAAUAACUUAAUUAUUAGCUAUAGACCUUUUACAUUAGAGUAGAGAUAGGACUAAUAAAUGUCCUUUAAGCUUCUAGGGUUUGGAGGACAUUUGUUUUAGGAAUUGACAUCUUGCUACUUCUUGAACAAAAUGGUAAUGCUGCUUUGGUAUUGGCAGCAUUAGCAAAUAUUCUGAGAUUGUAGUGCUGCUUUAGGGGCAAGAAGGAAGACUAGUGAGGAACAUAAUACGUACUAAAUAUGCUAAGAAUUGGAAAAUUCACCAUUACCUACAGAACCAUGAGACCCUUACGGUGCUUCAUGAUUUAGUCACACAUCUAACUAGUAAGGUCUGCUGUGGUUUAUUUUAAGGUGCACAUGGUUUUAUAUUUUUUUUUCUUUUUAGAUUAUUUCCAAAGCUUUUCUAGUAACUUCUUGAAAAUAGAUCAGAAGCAUGUACUUUACUAACAAAGAAUGAAUGGAUGACUUAAAUUUUUUUUUUACUAUAAUUUUGCAUUACUUUUACUGGGAGUAUGUAAUUUAUUUGGUAGCAGAGAGUGCAUAAAUAUAGCAAAAUACCUGUAAAGAACUGUUUUACUCUGGUGAAGUAACAGAACUGGAUGCUUAAAAUCUAUCAUAUUUUUGAAGAAAAUGUUUGAAGUUCUGAAUGAAUCUAUUAUGUAUGCUGGGCAUACAUAACAUAUACCUUUUUAAUGGUAAUAAAAAGUAUUUUUGAUAAUAUUCUGUGAGAGUAAUUGAUAUUACAGCAUAUGCUGUUAUUGAAAGCUGUGGUAUAGCACAGUAUCUGUAAAAUGUCUGGCCUAUUAAAUGUUGUAUCAUACUUCUCUUAAAAUAUUUAAUGGCCAGACUUUGUUUUAUAUGCAGUAGAGUUAAGCUAAGUCUGCUGAAGAACUUAAACACUUGCAUUUCUAGAGUUUGGUUCUUUUUUUUUUUAAGCUGUGCAAAAAUAAGAAAUGGGGAAGUUUGUGUUGAGUUUUCAGAAAAGAAGGCUGGUGCAUUGAGAACAGCUGUGAGACACCAGGAGAAUUGUAGAAACAAUGAAGGUGACUGGAUGCAGAGGCUAUAGAUCGCAUCUUCUCCUUGAUACCUGACAAAAGUAACUUAUGCAAUAAGUUAUUGCUGCAUAGUGGUAGAAUCUUCAGAAGAGAAAAUACAAGAACUAUAAAUGCAUCUGGAGACCAGGUAAGAAUGUAAAGAAACGGUGAUUAGAGAGGAAACAUGGCAUGCACAGAAUAAAGAUGUACACAUAACUGCUAAAUGAGAAGAGAAGAAUGAAUGAAAAUGAAUGAAUGAGAAGAAUGAAAGUUUCCAACUAUGAGGAUAAAGAGAAGAACUGACCAGUGAGGUUGAAAUGGAGUUGAAGAACAAGCUUGCUGUCCCGGAACAUGAUGGGGGGAAAAAAAAUCACAUGUAGUGAGUGAGGUUGUAGCAAAGAAGAAAGUAGCAGCUAGCCUCCAGAAGAAGAGAAGAGAGUGGAGAGAUGUCUCCAUGGCCUGAGGGCAACAUGCAGAUGACUGUAAAAGAAAGCAGAAGGCAGUAUAAUAUGCAGUUAAUAGUGGGCAGGAAACUCAUUCCAGCUUAAAGAAGUCACCAAGGCAAGCCAGUUACUCGGGAGUCUAUAUAUUAGUGGUUUGUCAGCAGAGCAAAUGGUCCUCUACAGGAGGAAGAGUACUUAGUUCUUGAGUUCAGAUAGUGAUGAUGGUAUCUUAUAGGCUUCUAAGGGCAGACUUAGGUACUGACAGACCAAGGACACAACAGAGAUGGGUACUGAGAGCUGACGUUGUGAACACCUUGUGUGUUGUUAAUGGUAGGCUCAAGUUGCACUUGAAUACAGUAGCUUUUUUUUUUUCCCCCCCACAAAAUACUAACUGAACAUACAAUAAGAGGCAUUUCAGACUCAGUUUGAUGAUACCUCUGGUUAAUUUUAAAUAGUAGUAGAAACAAGAAUGUCUGUCAAGUUGCUUGUUAGGAUGCAACUGGUCAGUCACACUGGUUUCACAUGCAUGAGCACUGAAAGCUAGGCAGUGUGCCUUCGUGAUACCUAAAGCAGAAACUCAUCCCACAGAUAGUUGGAUACAUGGCUAUGUAAAGCACAGUGCAUGCUUUGCUCUCCCCAGUUCCUUCAGCUAUUUAUUAAAUUGCAGUCAAAUUCUACUACUCUUGUUUGAUUUCAAUUCCUUAAAUGAUCUUGGUUCCUUAUUUAACUUGCAAACACCUUCAGGUGAUUAUCUAGGGCUUCCACCCACACUUUUGAGCUGUUGGAGCACUAUUUCCUGAUGUGUAUUUUGUUUAUUCCUUCCAGCUCGCUGACUGAUGCUGUACUCCAAACAGACAUAGUCACUGGCUAAUGCUUGUGUGAGGACAAGUGUUCCAUGGACACUGGAUACAAAACACAUGCUGAGAAAGAUCUGGGAAUACUUGAUAUUUAAACUAGUAAACUUUCCUUCCAAACUGACUCCUGGUCAUUGGCUACAGACUAACCCAUCACUUCUGGAAAAAGAAAAGGAUAGCUUCUGAAAAGGAAUCCACUCAAGUCUCUCAGUUUUAACGUAAACCUCCGGUACUCAGUAGAAUUUGCAUGCAUGCUUUCUCAUAUCUGCCCUGAGGUAUUGUAUUGUAGCCCAUGCUGCCUGCCCUAAAGUUUAGGAAAACUUAAAAAUGUCUUAUCUCCUUGCUCUUGACAGCUGCCCAGGACACUUCUGAGGCAGCAGCAGUGAAGGACAAAUGCUGAAAAGUGCUUGUCCCGAUUGUCCUUUGCUCCCCAGAUAAGUUUUCCUGUGAUGCCUAGCCCUGUGUGUGCUGGCUAGAACCAUCUCUAUGAUCAGUGGGCAGUUCUUACCCCCCAGCUCACCAUAAAAAAUGCACAGGAGGAAAGCCAAAGUGCCAAGCAAUGGCCUGACUGUUUUUACCCAGCAGUGAACCCAAAAGAAUGUCCUGCUGUUUGGGUUUGGUUUUUUUUCAGUGGGCAGCGCCUGCUAGUAGUUCUUAGUAAUGUGACUCAGGACCUGCACUUGGCUGCCUGCCUGCUCUAGUUCACUGUAAUAGUGGAAAGCAAUUAUGUUGCUACUUUUCCUGAGGAUUUUUUCUGUUUUAUCCUUGUCACAACGCAGAUGGAUUCUGGGCUGUUGUACAUAUUAACACCAGAUAAUCAUGAGUACUGUUUGAUUUAGGAGACUGUUAGCUUUCAUUUAAAUACUUUUUUCCCUUCUAGCCACAGCCUAUUAAAUAUGUCUGUUGUAUGUUGCCUGUGUUGAUUGGCCAAAAAGUUUUGUGUGGCCUGUCCUAAAGAGAAGGAAAAAGAAAUACUGCAUCCUUACAGAUGAUGCAACUUAAUUUUCCUGCAGUCAGUUAUCACAUGACAGUGAUGGCAGAUUUAGGAGGGUUAGAUUACCCAUACUAGCAAGAACUGUAAACAUGCUGAUAUCCUUGGUGGGGAGGAGAAAAACCCACUCAUUAUUUUGGUUUGUUAUAGUUUUGUAUUUUAAACAACAAUUUGGACUAAAUCCAGAUAGGAAUAUCCCAUCAGUUCUCAUUUUCACUCAAAAUUCAGAAGGAGAAACAAUCACAAAUUCAAAGCAUUUUUAGCAAAGAAUGAGGAAAAGUACUCAGUGUUCUUUAGUUUCUGCUUCCUAGCUUCAGAAAGGGUGCUGAGUCUAAGACAUCUGAAUAGCUUCUGGAAAUGUGAUCAUCUGAUAGAACUUGAAAUUCAGUUAGUUGAGUUAAGGAAUUGGGUUAGUUUGUUUCUUAUCAGGUAAAAUAGUGCUUCUCUGUCUUAGUGAGAUAUCAUUGGAAGUGUUUUACAAGUGCUUGCAGAGUGUUGAGGUUUAACCUCAGUAGAUACCUAAGCACCACACAGCCACCUCCUUGUUCCCCCCACUCAGUGAGUUGAGGGGAGAAUCGGAAGGGAAAUGUGAGAAAACUCAUGGGUUGAGAUAAAGGCAAUUUAACAGGUAAAAAAAGGAAGAAAAGAAAAACAAAUCCAAGAAAAAUCAAGUGAUGAUAAAAGCCUCACACAACUACCAGAAAAGCUUAGUUGCUCACCAGUAGCUGACUGAUGCCCAGCCAGUGCCCAAGCAAUGACAGCCCUGGCAAACUUCUCCCCCCACCUGCCACAGCUUCUCUUGCUGAGCAUGAUGUCAUAUGGGACAGGAUAAUCCUCUGGUCAGUUUGGGUCAGUGGUCCCAGCUGUGCCAUGUCCCAGCCCACUCCUAGCUAAGACUUUGGAUUUGUGCCCAAAGCCAUGUUUUUAGUACACCAAAAAACCUUACUAGCUGCUCUGAAGAAAAUUAACUCUGUGCCAGCUAAAACAGUACAAAUAGUUGAAAGUUUUCAGUGUAAAUGUAUAUGGGAGCUUUUUAUUUUAAAAACAAAUAUCUGCAGGUAAGUUGGUUUUGGAUUUUGGGGGGAGGAGGGGUUUGGGUUGGGUGGGUUUUUUUGUUUGUUUUUUUUAAUAAAUGGAAGGGGACUAAAGGUACCAGUGAGUGAAAUUACCUGAAUCAUAUCCAGGGACUUGGAACUUGGAGAACAAAAUGGAAAAUGUCCUCUGAAUUCACCAGGAAGAUCCUCAAGCCAACAGAAGCUUGGGUCCCAAAAAGACAGAAAGAGGGAAAGUGGAGUAAAAAAUGGCUUUGGAAUGAACUGAAAAAAUACCCCCAUCUAAGAGAGACCUGGGAAUAAGCAGCGAGUUUGAGAAAAGUACUUAAUCAGUAGAGGAAAUGUCUUUUGAGGUUAAGCAGCAUAGUGAGGAAUUGCAAACUGAUUAGUCAAGCUGAGAUAGAUUUACUGAUUAAAGCAAAAAAAACCAGAAGACUCUUCAGCCACAUAAAUAAAAAUACAAUAAGGAAGGAAGCCAAAUACUUCAGUAAAAUGAAAGAAGUCAAAGGUAAUCUAGACAUGACCCCGAGGUAGAGAAGACUGCCCCUGUCUUUGUGAAAGGAUAGCCAUGCUUCUCCAGGGGAAAGGAAGAAGGUGUUCAUCAGAGAGUUGCAAAAAAUGUGUGUCUUAUGCUUCGUGAUUUUUUGUCAUUUCUUUAGGAGUACUGUACACAAAGUACUUAGUUUUCACAGAAACAAAUGUGUUAUCUUGAAUGCUAAAUUAAUGAAACUUAAUUGGCAUUUCUGCGUAUUUAUUUAUAGUGCAACUUCUAGAUAGUGAGACAAGUGUUAGAAGAGAAGGGUAAAUGGGACCUUGACAAGUUCUGCUCUUGGUAUGAAAGACCAAUACAAGUUAUUGAUGCUUCCCUUCCUGCAAUAUUACUACAAAAGGGAUUAUAUCAGACUGAAGCACAUAUGGGAAGUGUGAACAAUUUAAAGGAUUAUGAGGUAUUGACAAGGAUAAUUAGGACUUUGUAGAGCCCCUCAAAAUAACUUCUUUUGCUCUGCAUAGCUAAAAAAAUACGAAAAUGUACCAACAAGCUAGACCUUGAACUGUUCUCAGAAACUUCUUGGGAAAAACUGUUACUUUGUUUUUUAUUUGGUCACAUGGAUUCCAGUUGUUGAAUCAAAACAGAAUUGUUCUGAUGCUCAUACAGAGCACUUUAGUUUCCUUUUUGGAUGUGUUAAAAAAUAAGUAAAUUUAAAAGCCAUUUUUUAGUGACCUAUAAUUUUUUCCUUUCAGUCUAGCUCAUAAUCCAGAGAUAAUUUCUUAGCAGAGCUAGGAGAGUAGUUCAGAAACUGUUUCAGUGCCCCUUAGGAGAAUGUCAAAGGAAGAUAAUAGUAGUGAUGGCUGAAAUUUAGGUGCUGUAAUUAAAAGGAAUGCUAUAAAAAUCUAAAUACAUGUAUUCUGUCAUUUUCUAAGUAUUUUCUCAAAUCCUUAGCCUUAGACACACAUGCUUUUCUGGGCCAGUGAUUGAAAGCAGUCCUUCUCAAGACAUAUAUUCUCUUCUGUGAUACUAAUGUUCUUCCACUUGGCGAUGGAAUCUUUAACUACUACAAGCUUAGCUCAUGCUAAUGCAGUGGUGAAGAGUCCUUUUGCAAAGGUCUUUGCUUAUCUUUUCUUUCUCCGCAGCAAGACUUCAUAAUGCAGUUCUCUAGGUCUUAUUGUGGACAGUAUGCUGGUUUUAUGGGGCUAGUAGAGAUUUUUGUCAUCUUUAUCACAUGCAUGACUAGUUGAGCUGACUUUCCCUAAACUGAACCUCUUCUAACUGAGGAUUGGUUUUGUAAAUACUAAUGCUGAGCGAAUUACUUCUUUUCUACACUUUUACCUCUAACAAAAAGGGGGGGAAGGGGCAGAUUGGGGGGAGAAAACAAUAACAGAACGAUGAAUGAAAGAGAGCUUCCAUAAUUGGAAAAUUUAUUACACUAGGAAGAAAACUUUUCAAGAUAAAUUAGCGUCAAAUGAAUUUGCAUGUAUGAUAGUUGAUGUAAUUGUAUCCUCUGUUAAGCUUCUCUGUCUUCCUGUUAGUUCAGGAAAACUUAUAAAUAGGAGAAAUUACAUAAACUUAAUUGGAAAGCAGUCUUCUAUCCAUCAGCUAUAGACAGCCAUUUUGGAAGGGGGGCUGUAUGGCGCUUUUAUAAUCUCUAAGGAAUUUUUAGCUCUUUUCUGUCUCCAAGCUUUGUCAGCCUCAGCAAUUUUCCUUAGUUUAUAAGAAAGUAAACUUUGUUAGGUACCAUUAUUGUUCCCUGCUUGGGUGUGCUAGGUAGUUCACUGUUUGGCUGAAUAUCUGUCUUAAGCACUGGUAAACUGGCUUACUCAUUGAAUUUGGAACUCAUUAUAAAAAUAUUUUACCAUGAAAUAAAAUUGGCAAAUUGGAAAUUGAGAGUACAUAACACAUAAUCCAAAAUUCAUUUUCAAGUUAUAUUUACGUGGUCUAAAAGAUGUGAUUAAACUUCUCAAAAGCUUGGCAAAGAAUUUAAACCUUUGGUACUUCUAUCUAUUAAGGUGGUAGUAUGAUUAUAUUUUGAAUAUAAUAACGUUUCAAAUAGGGUUUAAGUAUAACCAGUACUGUAGAGUUAGGCAUGAACACUGUUGUGUGAAGACGGGUGAGUCAGUAAGGUGCUGUGUUAAUUUAAUAUAGCUAGUGUUGAUAUUUUAAUAAAAGAAACAGGGAAGCAGAACUGAGGCACAUACAGUUAGAAUAUGUUUAAUAUUAGUCAAACAGACCAGUAAAGUCCAUCAGAAGUUUGGAGAGAAAGAGGAUGGGGAAGAAAACAAAAAAAAUCUUUGCUAUCCACUGGAAGUGUUAAGGAUUGUGAUGAUUAAAUCACGUUAACAAACCAAUAACAACAUUUACUUGCUACUUCGAGACAAUAUUUCAUUACAGAUUCUUCUCUGUUGUUCUUAAUACUGGUGGUUAACUGCAAGUACUGCAUUUCCUCUGCAGCUUGUAGAACACAAUGCAUGGAAUUUACUUGCUGCUUGCUUGGAUUUGUAAAAUUGCUGUAGAUUCUCCCUGUUGGGAAGACGGUUGGUAGGGAGCAGUUGCCUGAAAAGCCUCCCAGUAUGUUUACACAUAAUGCAAAAAGACUAAAUGAUUGGAUGUGUUGGUUAAUACUAAUGGAAUGUAAAUGCACAAAGAAAAUCAGAAAAGACAAGUAUGUAGGAUGUGGGUCAAUAUUUAUGUCUUGGGAGAGAUCUGGCCUGUCCUAUGAAUGCUGGGCAUACUUCUGUUAGAGUUCUGCAUACAUACUCCUCUCCUCCUGAGUACUGAGGGAGCAACACAGGACUGUGUAAGUGUAUCAACCAGAUCUAAAAGCAGUACAGUCCCACAAGCUCAGCCUUGCUGCUUCUGAGUUCAGGAUGGCUUGCUCAGUCCAACAGUAUUGGGACACAAAAGUGCUAGGAGAUAAAGGGGUUAGAAUAACUUGUUGCGGUGCUAUAUGUGGGGGGGGGUUAACAAGUUCUGCUGAAUAUGAUUGCUGAUUGCCUAGUUAGGCUUAUCUUGUGAGUUAAAUGCCCUUUGUGUUAUUUCUUGCUAAAUAUCUAAUGUACAUGGCAGCCUACUGCAAACUUUAAAGUAAUGAUAAAGUACUUGAUGUAUUUGCUAGCUUAUGUGUUGCUUUUAUGUAUCUGCUUUCUUAAUUAGAGUAAUGUAACAAUAAGAUUUUAAUUUUUAGAAAGAUAAUGCUUGACAAAAUGUAGUUUAUCUUUACAGGAUUAUGUUGGUGAAACUCCUAUUCAUAAAGCAGCUCGAUCUGGUAGUAUGGAUUCCAUAAGUGCCCUUGUGGCUCAUGGUGCGCAAAUAGAAUAUUUUAAACAUAAACUUGGAUUUACAUUUUACUGUGGAAUUGAGCAAACCUUAAUUAUCAUCAUCAAUUAGUAUAUAAUCUUGUGGGUUUUACAAAGUAGCCAACCAAAAGAGAAGUUGUGGAACUGCAUAAACCAUGUGAACUGAAGCAUAUUCUGUGCACAGUAUGUCCUACAGCCAUAAAAAUGGUUGCUCCACUAACUAUGAUAUUCAUGGACCCUUGAAGAGGGGGAAGCAGGUGGUCACAAUGUCCUCAUAUGAGUGAAAAGUAAUCCUAGAAAGGGGGAGCAUUCCAUAUAGAAACUGCUGAAACUGCCACAGGUGCUUCUCCGAAAACCUUACAGUUGUGGCAUUGAAUGUUCAGUAUCGCUUCCUUUCUGCACACAAGGCAUACUGUUGAGCUUGAGAAAUGCCAGUGGCCUGACAGCAGCAGACCUUGCACAUACCCAGGGCUUCCAAGAAUGUGCCCAGUUUCUCUUGAACCUCCAGAACAGUCACCUGAAUCGUUUCUAUAGCAAUGGCACCUUAAAUGGGGUUCAUCAGAAUGCAGGUCCCAAUCCAUUCAGUGGUGGGACUAGUCGAAAGAGAUCCUUUGAAGAUACGGAGUCUGCUGGAGCAAAGAAGGCUAGAACAGAAGCUUACAGCUUUGAUGGCUUAAUACCAGUGAUGAAUGGAGGAGCUGAGGACGAUGCUGACAAUAUGCACGUUGAUAGAGAGUUUGCUGUUGUAUCAGAUAUGAAUAGCAGUAGCUCCAUAUUGAAUGCACUGACAAAUGGAUGUGCCAUCAAUGGACAUUUGGAUUUCACCACCGCACAGCAGCUCAGUGGGAUGGAUGCCAGGCGUGAGGAGUGCUUAGCAUUAACACCUAACGGAGUCAUUCCUGGAAUAACUUCCCCCAGUAGGCACCGAGUUCAUACCAGUAAUGGCACUGAGGAACCAGAAAAAGCCAUGAGUAAUUCCACUGAGAUGUGUGGAUCUCUCCAUCUGAAUGGAAGCCCGAGUAGCUGUGUUUCUAACCGGCCCUCAUGGGUUGAAGACCCUGGAGAUACUUUGCACUAUGGACACUACCAUGGUUUUGGGGAUACUGCUGAAAGCAUCCCCGAACUUAGUAGUGUUGUUGAGCAUUCCAACUCUGUCAAGGUCGAACAGAGAUACGACAAUACUGUCCUAGGCAC